rnacentral:rRNA from 1 species
AAACUUUCAACAACGGAUCUCUUGGUUCUCGCAUCGAUGAAGAACGCAGCGAACUGCGAUACGUAAUGUGAAUUGCAGAAUUCCGUGAAUCAUCGAAUCUUUGAACGCACAUUGCGCCCCUUGGUAUUCCGGGGGGCAUGCCUGUUUGAACGUCAUUU